rnacentral:misc_RNA from 1 species
UCCGGUUUGUCACCGGCAGUCUGGCGUGAGUCCCCAACUUAAUGCUGGCAACACGCCACGGGGGUUGCGCUCGUUGCGGGACUUAACCCAACAUCUCACGACACGAGCUGGCGACAGCCAUGCAGCAUCUGUGGUGCACCCUCGAAGGUCACACGUUUCCGUGCGCUUGCAGCACCAUGUCAAGCCCAGGUAAGGUGGGGAUGACGUGGCACAGACUAUAC